UUUCCGCAUCCUCUAAAAACUUCCAUUUUUCCUCGUCAUCCCCCCUUCCCACACGCAUACUCACAAUUCCCGUGUUCAAUUGCUAUUUGCUAACCUAAUCGACACUGCCUCCUCUCUGUCUCUCUUCCUCAAUCCUUCUUUCUUUGCACAUCUCAAUACACUUCCUAAAAGGGUAAGAGGUGGUAUGUUCUCUGACAACUCAUCCUCUCACUUAUCGCACAAAUAUGAUGCUGAUAGGUAUGCUUCCAGCAACUGUUUUUAAUGUGCAGAAUAUAUCGAAGCAUAUGACAUGAAUAUCAAUUUCGGAAUUCAGUACUAUACAUUGAUAUGCAUUAAAUUUCAAAGCUUCCGUCAGAUGAUAUUUUGAUAUCCCCAUGAACAUCAAUCACUUUCUCUGAAAGGCUUCAAUAACAUUGAAUUGGAAAUUAAUCUGUAACAAUUCUGAUUACCUAAUGAAACAAAUUAUUGCUUACUUCAUCAAAGAUGCAGUUACAUUGUAGAUGGGGUGUGAAUCUAAUGUUCAAAUUUGGCAACUGAAGAUUCUUUGAAAUGAGGCAGAUGGCCUAAUAUGGAAUUCUUUUCACGUAGUUUAGCCUCCUUGUACUUUUAAUUAAAAUCAUUGGACAUUGUUUAAAUAGUGUGAAGCAUCUUCUGGGAAAUGAGUUUGAUUCUGUCUCUUAGUUUGGUUCAAAGUCCUUUGAACACCUUUUCUUUUCUUUUCUUUUCUUUUUUUUUUUUUUUUUUUUUUUUUUUUUUUUUUUUUUGUGUGUUUGUAAUAAAUGGAGUUUGUUGGUUUUGGCUUCUGAACGAAAGGUUGAGGAUUAAAUCAUGGCCAUUAAGGUACUCUCUAAACUAAUUUGGAUGCUUUAAUGAUUUCUAUAGUUAAACCAUUAAUUAGUUGUUCCUUAUAUGAAUAUGUGAUAGUAAGUGUAUAUAAGUAACUUUGAUGUUGAAUCUGUAAUAAUAGUUCAUUUUUGCUAGUUGCUUUUAUAUUGAGCUCAACAGACGUAGUCCGUAAAUUUCAUAUUACAUGCAUACCUAUAAAGCAGUGGAUUAAAUUUUUACAAGUCUAUUGCACAUAGUAAUUAAUAAUUCAGUAGUUAACGACGCUUUUAUCAAAUUACUCAAGCACGGUGGUCAAUUAUAUGCACUACUACAUAUGCUCAAGUUGAGAAAGGGAUAUCAUCGUUUAUUAAUGUUGGCAUCGAAAGAGACUUGUACGUUAACUCCUGAAUAAGAAAUUUAUAUUUAAUUUCUACGUUAACUUUUAAAUACAAUAUUAGUACUUUCCUUUCCUAUUGUCUUGCAUGCAGAUCAUGAGGAACAUAAUUGAGGGAGACAAGAAUGAGAGUCAAGGAUUACAUCUCACUACUGCACAAGAUUGCAACUCAAUUCUAUUGUUGCCUAUGAUUUUAUUUUGGACUGCACUAUUCUUCUCAUUUUUUGGAACUUCACUAGGUUUUUUUAUUGUCUAUGAUAUUGUUUUGGACUAUGUCUAUGUACAUGUUACUCAUUCUGGAAUUAGAACUGACUUGUAAAUGUAUUUUGCCUUGCAUCAACUUUCUUAAAGGCUUUUGAAUUGUGACUAUUGCGUUGUGAUUUCAAAUACAUCCUGGUUUUAAUUUUUGUU